UGAGGCACGAAAGCGUGGGGAGCAAACAGGAUUAGAUACCCUGGUAGUCCACGCCGUAAACGAUGAGUACUAAAUGUUGGGUAAAACCAGUGUUGAAGUUAACACAUUAAGUACUCCGCCUGAGUAGUACGUACGCAAGUAUGAAACUUAAAGGAAUUGACGGGACUCCGCACAAGCGGUGGAUCAUGUUGUUUAAUUCGAAGGUACCCGAAAAACCUCACCAGGUCUUGACAUGCUUCUGCAAAGCUGUAGAAACACAGUGGAGGUUAUCAGUUGCACAGGUGGUGCAUGGUUGUCGUCAGCUCGUGUCGUGAGAUGUUGGGUUAAGUCCCGCAACGAGCGCAACCCUUAUUGUUAGUUGCCAGCACGUAAUGGUGGGGACUUUAGCAAGACUGCCAGUGAUAAAUUGGAGGAAGGUGGGGACGACGUCAAAUCAUCAUGCCCCUUAUGACCUGGGCUACAAACGUGAUACAAUGGCUGUUACAAA
rnacentral:rRNA from 1 species